UAAGAUGAGAGUUUGAUCCUGGCUCAGGACGAACGCUGGCGGCAUGCCUAAUACAUGCAAGUCGAACGAGCUUCCGUUGAAUGACGUGCUUGCACUGAUUUCAACAAUGAAGCGAGUGGCGAACUGGUGAGUAACACGUGGGUAACUUGCCCAGAAGCAGGGGAUAACACUUGGAAACAGGUGCUAAUACCGUAUAACAACAAAAACCGCAUGGUUUUU
rnacentral:rRNA from 1 species